rnacentral:tRNA from 1 species
GGCUAAAUAACAUAAAUGGGUAAUGUAAUAGAUUGCAAAUCUUUGAAUAUCGGUUCGAUUCCGGUUUUAGCCU